GCACUGAAAGUGAGUGUUGGAGGAAAGCAAACUGGGAAAUCCGUCUCAACAGUGCUGAUGUUUCCAGUUUGUUUUUCUCCAAUAUCUCAUUUUCGGUAG
rnacentral:pre_miRNA from 1 species